UUUCGCAAUGCCCGAAAGGGUGACGAAGCGACGCCGCGUGUGGGAUGAAGGCCUUCGGGUUGUAAACCACUGUCGGGAGUUAAGAAUUGUAGGAAUGCUAAUAGUAUUUCUACUUGACUAAGGCUCCGGAGGAAGCCACGGCUAACUCUGUGCCAGCAGCCGCGGUAAUACAGAGGCGGCAAGCGUUGUUCGGAAUUAUUGGGCGUAAAGAGCAUGUAGGCGGCUAUGUAAGUCGGUUGUGAAAGCCUUCCGCUUAACGGAAGAAUGGCGGUCGAAACUGCAUGGCUUGAGUGCGGGAGGGGAGAGUGGAACUUCUGGUGGAGCGGUGAAAUGCGUAGAUAUCAGAAGGAGCACCGGCGGCGAAAGCGGCUCUCUGGUCCGUAACUGACGCUGAGGUGCGAAAGCUAGGGGAGCAAACGGGAUUAGAUACCCCGGUAGUCCUAGCCGUAAACGAUGGGCACUAAGUAGAGGGGUUUU
rnacentral:rRNA from 1 species